rnacentral:rRNA from 1 species
UACGUAGGGGGCAAGCGUUGUCCGGAUUUAUUGGGCGUAAAGAGCUCGUAGGCGGUUUGUCGCGUCUGCUGUGAAAACGCGAGGCUCAACCUCGCGCCUGCAGUGGGUACGGGCAGACUAGAGUGCGGUAGGGGAGAUUGGAAUUCCUGGUGUAGCGGUGGAAUGCGCAGAUAUCAGGAGGAACACCGAUGGCGAAGGCAGAUCUCUGGGCCGUAACUGACGCUGAGGAGCGAAAGCGUGGGGAGCGAACAGG